rnacentral:lncRNA from 1 species
AAUUGGAGUUAUAGAUUAAAAGUUAUAAGCAAUUUAAGAUCAGGUACAAAUCUGUUUCAGAAAUAGAAAACAGAAAAGAUUAAAAAUAAAAAGUGCAGUGUCAGAUCCUGAUUGGUUGUGAGGUGUGCACGUUUUAGGCUAACUAGAGGACGGCCGCAAUAUAAGAAAAACCUUUCGAUUUAUAAUCUAACUAACAGGACCGGUUGGUUUAUUCUAACUAACCGGAAGGUAAGUUGGAUCUAAUCUAAUACGCACAAAAAA